rnacentral:lncRNA from 1 species
GUUGGACUGGUUGCUGAUGGACGACUUCUAGCGGCGGCAGCAGCAGCGUCUUCAGACACGGUGCGGGGACUCGCUUGCUCUGCGAGGGUCUCUCUUUCCCCUGCCCCCACAACCGUCCCUCGCCCACUUGCCGGCGUCAGGAGGACUUGAGAGUCCGAGCGGGGUCCUGCCGCACCCAAGGCCGCCGGCCCUCGUCCGGGUCCUGGUGUGGGCCGCAGGCCGGGCGAGGAGGGGAGCCAGGACGCCUCUCCCGCUUCCUCCCAUUCCUCCUUCCCUUGCCGCCUGCCCACCCACUCCCCAUUCUUUCCUGCUUCCCCAUCGAAAUCGGGAGGGCCUGGGUCACCCGCCGGUUGGUUUCCCAACGCGGGUGCAGGCCGCGGGGGGGGGAGACACCCCCCCCCCGCCCUGCGGCCUCCGCCCCUCGCUCUCGGGGCUCGCUGCACCGCGACGCUGCGGUGCGCCCCUCCUCGCCUCUUUUUCUAAAGUGCCUGCAGAUACAAAAGCGGUUUCGUAAUGCCUUCCGUCUGCGAGAGCCGGAGGACCUUGGCUGACCUUUCGGAAACUGAUUGCAACUGCCUGUUAACAGCCCGUACUGACCGCACCGAGCAGAGCGGAGGACAAUCAUUUAAGUGACAGACGGCGAGGUGGCCUCGGCUCAGUCGAGCGGCCUGGUUAAGCCCGCCCCACCCCUCCCCCCCAAGUGCCCCCCCCAAGCCCCGGGCGCACUGCGGGCUGUGGCGGGCGCCCGGGCGGGCGGGGAGGGCGCGCCGCGCGCGCGCGGUGUGUGUGUGUGUGUGUGUGUGUGUGCGCGCGCGCGCGCGCCCGCCCGCCCGCGAUCACCGGUUGACGGGUUAACCCUUCGCCGAGCUGCCGGCCCCUUUGAGGCCGGACGCUGUCGGCUUAAUCUGCCAUCUGCAAAAGAGGAAUAAAAGGGCCGCCUCCGCCGACUUUCCCUAAUGGAUAAACUGUCUCCCCUCAGCGUGACCGGGGCUGCGUCCCCGCUGCUGCCGGGGAAAGAUCCCGACCCUCAGCUCUUCCGGCACGUCCCUGGGUCCCCUCCCUGCGCCCCCUCCCUUCCCCGCACAGAAAGACGCCAAGACAGGAACAGCACAGGGACAGCGCGAGGGGUCCAAAGGCUCCGAGAGACUCGCGGUGCAGUGGACGUGGGUGUUCCCGGUGUUUUCUGUUUUGGAAACUGGAGAAAGCAGCCAGCGAACGCUCGGCGGCGCCCCUCCCCCGCUCGCCUGCCGGCUCCCUUUGUUGAUUCUCAGCUGCGAGCGCGGCGGGCCCGAGCCGCCGCCGCCGCCGCCGCCCGCCGCCGCCGCCGAGCACGAUCUGCUCUUGCGCCCUCGGUCGCAGCUGCGGCCCAGGAAGCCGGGGCUGCGUCCCCGCCCCCCACCCCCACGGCGCGGCAGCCCCCGCAACCCCCCCCCGCCGCCCGCCACGAGGCCAGCCCAGCCUCUUCGCCGCUUCUCGCUGCGGCUCCGCGUCCCCAACGCCGAGCAGAGGCGCUGGCUGCUGCCGCCCCGAGCCUCCGGCUGCGCGGGGGCCUUCGCCACCCCUCACCCCCCGGCGGCUGCACUCUGAUGCCGCCGUCCCCACACAUGUUCUUCAUUUCGCACACUCGCGGCGUGCUUCCUCUCGGCUCCUCUCCUCGGGGCUUUUCGGAGCGAGGAGGGAGGUUUAGAGGAAGUUAG